UACGUAGGGGGCUAGCGUUGUCCGGAAUCAUUGGGCGUAAAGCGCGUGUAGGCGGUUCGGUAAGUCCGCUGUGAAAGUCGGGGGCUCAACCCUCGGAUGCCGGUGGAUACUGUCGAGCUUGAGUACGGAAGAGGCGAGUGGAAUUCCUGGUGUAGCGGUGAAAUGCGCAGAUAUCAGGAAGAACACCCGGUGGCGAAGGCGGCUCUCUGGGACGGUACUGACGCUGAGACGCGAAAGCGUGGGAGCAAACAGG
rnacentral:rRNA from 1 species